rfam:Candidate division WWE3 bacterium RIFCSPHIGHO2_01_FTLL_48_15 rifcsphigho2_01_scaffold_598, whole genome shotgun sequence.
AAGGCACCAAACAAAGGCAGAUGAUGGAUGCCUUGGAACAGAAAGCCUAUGAAGGACGUAUGAGCCUGCGAUAAGCCUCGGUGAGCUGGCAAAAAGCGCUUAACCGGGGAUCUCCGAAUGGGGAAACCCGUCCGAUUUUAUCGGACACCACCUAGCCAAAUUUCCGCCUUUCGGCGGAAUAUUAACUGGGUUGGAGGGCACUCGGCGAAUUGAAACAUCUUAGUAGCCGGAGGAAAAGAAAUAGACAUAUUGAUUCCCUAAGUAGCGGCGAGCGAAAGGGGAACAACCUAAACCUAUCCGCAAGGAUGGGGGUUGCAGGAUCCGCGCAACGGAAGUCAAAGAUAGGCGAAGGCUCUGGAAAGGGCCGCCAAAGAGGGUGAAAGCCCUGUAGCCAAAAUCAGCGACUUCCCGGCGGAAUUCCUAAGUACCACGGGAUAAGUGAAAGCCUGUGGGAAGCUGGCCGGACCACCGGCCAAGGUUAAAUACUUUCUGUUACCGAUAGUGAACUAGUACCGUGAGGGAAAGGUGAAAAGAUCCCCGGUUAGGGGAGUGAAAUAGAAUCUGAAAUCAUCUGCUAACAAGCAGAGGGAGGAGCGCAAGCUCUGACCUCGUGCCUAUUGAAGAAUGAACCGACGAGUUGCCGUGGAAGCAGCAAGGUUAGCCCGCAUCAGCGGGAAAACCGUAGCGAAAGCUAGUCCUAAAUGGGCGAUUAGUUGCCCGCGGCAGACCCGAAGCCUGGUGAGCUACCCAUGGACAGGGUGAACCCCAACGAGAGUUGGGGGGAAGCCCGAACCGUUGUGCGUUGUAAAGCGCUCGGAUGAUCUGUGGGUAGGGGUAAUAUGCCAAUCGAACCAGGCGAUAGCUGGCUCUCCCCGAAAAAUAUUUAGGUAUUGCCUCGGAGAGUAACGGCGGGGGUAGAGUUACCGGAAGGAAUGCCGAGCCCGUGAGGGUAUCGCUUCCUACCAAACUCCGAAUACCGCCGCGUAAUCUCCGGGAGUCAGAGCACGGGAGCAAGUUCCGUCGCUCAAAAGGGAAACAGCCCAAAUCAUUGGUUAAGGUCCCUAAGUUGUAUUUAAGUGGGAAAGGAAGUGAGGUGACUCAGACACCCAGAAGGUAGGCUCAGAAGCAGCCAUCCUUGAAAGAGUGCGUAACAGCUCACUGGCUAAGUCACUUUGCGCCGAAAAUGUAACGGGGCUCAAAAUACACACCGAAACCGUGAACCCGCAAGGGUGGUAGGGGAGCGUUCUUUGUCUGAUGAAGCUCAAGCCGUAAGGCAGGGUGGAGGACAAAGAAGUGAGAAUGUCGGUAUAAGUAGCGUUUCCCGGUGAGAAUCCGGGACGCCGGAAGUCCAAGGUUUCCUCCGCUCUGUUCGUCAGCGGAGGGUUAGUCGAUCCUAAGUCGAGGCCGAAAGGCGUAGACAAUGGUCGGGGCGUUAAUAUUCGCCCACUUUUGUAUAGUUCGAUGGGGUAACGUUUUACCAAGUUGUGAGCGCUGAUAUGGUUGAUGCGUUCAGCGCACCAAGGUGUCCCGCCGGCAAAUCCGCGGGGCGUAAGCCAAGGUGUGAUGGAAAGUUCCGCAAGGGACAAUUCACGAGGCGGCAGAACCGAGAAAAACCUCUAAGUUAUGCUAUGCAGAAACCGUACCGCAAACCAACACUGGUGGACUAGAUUAGUAAUCUAAGGCGAUCGGGAGAACCUUUCUUGAUGAAUUCGGCAAAUUAGCCCCGUAAGUUCGCAAUAAGGGGUGCCCGUCCAUUGGACGGGUCGCAGUGACAAAGCUCAAUCGACUGUUUAACAAAAACACAGGUCUCCGCUAAACCCGCAAGGGGAUGUAUGGGGGCUGACGCCUGCCCAGUGUCCGUAGGUUAAGGGGCGGUCUGAGAUAAUAUCAGGGACCAAACCUAAGCCCGGAUGAACGGCAGCAGUAACUAUAACUGUUCUAAGGUAGCGAAGUUCCUUGUCGGGUAAGUUCCGACCCGCACGAAAGGCGUCACGAGUUGAGCGCUCUAUUAAGAAAGGACCCGGCGAAAUUGAAAUGGCCGUGAAGAUGCGGCCUUCCCACAGCAGGACAAGAAGACCCCGUGGAGCUUUACUAUAGCUUGACAUUGAUUUAACUUUCGAACUCGUAUAGCGUAGGAGGGAGCUUGCAAGAGCGCCAAUGUAACACCUCCCGGUUUGAUUUUUAGAUCUCACCUUUGCCGUUAUCCGGCAAAAGGACAGUGUCUGGCGGUUAGUUUAACUGGGGCGGUUGCCUCGCCAAGAGUAACCGAGGCGCCCAAAGGUCGGCUUGGUCUCGAUGGACACGAGACUAUAAGUGCAAAGGCAAAAGCCGGCUUAACUGUAAGACUGACAGGUCGAGCAGAUGCGAAAGCAGGGCUUAGCAACCUGUUCACAUCAAGUGGUUGAGUGAACAACAACGAAUAAAAGCUACCCCGGGGAUAACAGGCUGAUCUCCUCCGAGAGUCCAUAUCGACGAGGAGGUUUGGCACCUCGAUGUCGGCUCAUCAUAUCCUGGGGCUGUAUAAGGUCCCAAGGGUUCGGCUGUUCGCCGAUUAAAAUGGUACGCGAGCUGGGUUCAGAACGUCGUGAGACAGUUCGGUCUCUAUCCGCUGUGGGCGUGAUAAGUUUCUGAAGGGAUUUCUCUCUAGUACGAGAGGACCGAGAGGAGUAAACCUCUGGUGUACCGGUUGUCCUACCAAGGGCAUCGCCGGGUAGCUAUGUUUACACGGGAUAAGCGCUGAAAGCAUCUAAGCACGAAGCCCACCCUAAGAUGAGAAACAGACCCCUGGAAGACUACCAGGUUGAUAGGCUGCAAGUGUAAGCGCUGUAAGGCGUUGAGCUGAGUAGUACUAAUAGGUCGAUUAAAAAACCUUCU